GACGAACGCUGGCGGCGUGCUUAACACAUGCAAGUCGAACGGAAAGGCUCCAGCCUGCUGGAGUACUCGAGUGGCGAACGGGUGAGUAACACGUGGGUAAUUUGCCCUCAACCCUGGGUUAAGCCUGGGAAACUGGGCCUAAUACUGGAUAGAACCUUUCCCCUUAUGGGUUUGGUUGGAAAGUUUUUCGGUGUAGGAUGGGCCCGCGGCCUAUCAGCUUGUUGGUGGGGUGAUGGCCUACCAAGGCGACGACGGGUAGCCGGCCUGAGAGGGUGAUCGGCCACAUUGGGACUGAGAUACGGCCCAGACUCCUACGGGAGGCAGCAGUGGGGAAUAUUGCACAAUGGGCGGAAGCCUGAUGCAGCGACGCCGCGUGAGGGAUGACGGCCUUCGGGUUGUAAACCUCUUUCAGCAGGGACGAAGCGUAAGUGACGGUACCUGCAGAAGAAGCACCGGCUAACUAUGUG
rnacentral:rRNA from 1 species